UAAAACCGGGGGAGCCUUUAUGGCUGAGAGUAAGUUCGACUUUGACCCCAGAACCUGUCUGGAUAAUGCCAGCGAAGGAAGAGUUUU
rnacentral:ncRNA from 1 species